rnacentral:lncRNA from 1 species
CUGCCUCCUUAGAGCCCUUGAAACACAAGGGUCUGGAGGCAUGUGCUAUACCGUACAACUAUCCCAGCGGCAUCCUCUAAAGAGAGGAAGCGCUAGGAAUGCAUGGGGCUAAUAACAUGUAGGACCACAUCUCUCAGAAAACCUAGGACUGUGCCUGUGUUAAAAAGCGGUUCUGGGCCGAGGAACAUUACUGGAUGGAGAGGGAUGUGCUGUCUGUAAGCUAAGGAAAAAUGUUUCGUUCUUUCAAAUUCGGCUUCGCGACACUCCAGAAGGACGUGGAGCACGGUCAGCCUCUCCCCGCAUCUACCACAGGUUGGAGGCUCACUUCCGGAAUCUGUUGUCCACACAUUUGUAAGCAAGGAUCCGGAACUAGGCCUCUCUUCCUUGUAAACAGCACACAAGAACUUUUUUGAGGAUUGAUUUUAAAACCAUUUUUCUCUGCCCACCCUGACACCUUGUUCAAGCCAUGCUGUACCUGUCUCUCGCAUACUGCGAGGUUACAGGAUUUGAAGCCUAUUUGAAUGUCGUCCACAUAGACGGAAUACAAGAUGGCUGGUGGUAAGGACGCACGAAGCGUUGUCAUUUUAACAAUAAAAAGUGUGCAACUGA